AUUGAACGCUGGCGGCAGGCCUAACACAUGCAAGUCGAACGGUAACAGGAAGAAGCUUGCUUCUUUGCUGACGAGUGGCGGACGGGUGAGUAAUGUCUGGGAAACUGCCUGAUGGAGGGGGAUAACUACUGGAAACGGUAGCUAAUACCGCAUAACGUCGCAAGACCAAAGAGGGGGACCUUCGGGCCUCUUGCCUUCGGAUGUGCCCAGAUGGGAUUAGCUAGUAGGUGGGGUAACGGCUCACCUAGGCGACGAUCCCUAGCUGGUCUGAGAGGAUGACCAGCCACACUGGAACUGAGACACGGUCCAGACUCCUACGGGAGGCAGCAGUGGGGAAUAUUGCACAAUGGGCGCAAGCCUGAUGCAGCCAUGCCGAGUGUAUGAAGAAGGACUUCGGGUUGUAAAGUACUUUCAGCGGGGAGGAAGGGAGUAAAGUUAAUACCUGUGCUCAUUGACGUUACCCGAAGAAGAAGCACCGGCUAACUCCGUG
rnacentral:rRNA from 1 species